AACGAACGCUGGCGGCAUGCCUAACACAUGCAAGUCGAACGAGACCUUCGGGUCUAGUGGCGCACGGGUGCGUAACGCGUGGGAAUCUGCCCUUGGGUUCGGAAUAACAGUUAGAAAUGACUGCUAAUACCGGAUAAUGUCUUCGGACCAAAGAUUUAUCGCCCAGGGAUGAGCCCGCGUAGGAUUAGCUAGUUGGUGAGGUAAAGGCUCACCAAGGCGACGAUCCUUAGCUGGUCUGAGAGGAUGAUCAGCCACACUGGGACUGAGACACGGCCCAGACUCCUACGGGAGGCAGCAGUGGGGAAUAUUGGACAAUGGGCGAAAGCCUGAUCCAGCAAUGCCGCGUGAGUGAUGAAGGCCUUAGGGUUGUAAAGCUCUUUACCCGGGACGAAACCCAUUGGUUAAUAGCCAAGUGGCUUGACGGUACCAGGGGAGGAAGCACCGGCUAACUUCGUGCCAGCAGCCGCGGUAAU
rnacentral:rRNA from 1 species